AGAGCGAACGCUGGCGGUAGGCCUAACACAUGCAAGUCGAACGGACUCUUCGGGGGUUAGUGGCGGACGGGUGAGUAACACGUGGGAACGUGCCUUUAGGUUCGGAAUAGCUCCUGGAAACGGGUGGUAAUGCCGAAUGUGCCCUUCGGGGGAAAGAUUUAUCGCCUUUAGAGCGGCCCGCGUCUGAUUAGCUAGUUGGUGAGGUAAAGGCUCACCAAGGCUACGAUCAGUAGCUGGUCUGAGAGGAUGACCAGCCACAUUGGGACUGAGACACGGCCCAAACUCCUACGGGAGGCAGCAGUGGGGAAUCUUGCGCAAUGGGCGAAAGCCUGACGCAGCCAUGCCGCGUGAAUGAUGAAGGUCUUAGGAUUGUAAAAUUCUUCAGUAGGGACGAUAAUGACGGUACCUACAGAAGAAGCCCGGCUAACUUCGUGCCAGCAGCCGAC
rnacentral:rRNA from 1 species